GGACCAUUAGCUCAGCUGGAUAGAGCGCUGCCCUCCGAAGGCAGAGGCCAGAGGUUCGAAUCCUCUAUGGUCCGCCA
rnacentral:tRNA from 25 species